rnacentral:rRNA from 1 species
GACGAACGCUGGCGGCGUGCUUAACACAUGCAAGUCGAGCGGUAAGGCCCUUUCGGGGGUACACGAGCGGCGAACGGGUGAGUAACACGUGGGUGACCUGCCCUCAGCUCUGGGAUAAGCCUGGGAAACCGGGUCUAAUACCGGAUAUGACUCCAUGACGCAUGUUGUGGGGUGGAAAGCCUUGUGCGGCUGAGGAUGGGCCCGCGGCCUAUCAGCUUGUUGGUGGGGUGAUGGCCUACCAAGGCGACGACGGGUAGCCGGCCUGAGAGGGCGACCGGCCACACUGGGACUGAGACACGGCCCAGACUCCUACGGGAGGCAGCAGUGGGGAAUCUUGCGCAAUGGGCGAAAGCCUGACGCAGCGACGCCGCAUGAGGGAUGACGGCCU